UACGUAGGGUGCGAGCGUUGUCCGGGAUUACUGGGCGUAAAGAGCUCGUAGGUGGUUUGUCGCGUUGUUCGUGAAAUCUCACGGCUUAACUGUGAGCGUGCGGGCGAUACGGGCAGACUAGAGUACUGCAGGGGAGACUGGAAUUCCUGGUGUAGCGGUGGAAUGCGCAGAUAUCAGGAGGAACACCGGUGGCGAAGGCGGGUCUCUGGGCAGUAACUGACGCUGAGGAGCGAAAGCGUGGGGAGCGAACAGGAUUAGAUACCCUGGUAGUCCACGCCGUAAACGGUGGGUACUAGGUGUGGGUUUCCUUCCUUGGGAUCCGUGCCGUAGCUAACGCAUUAAGUACCCCGCCUGGGGAGUACGGCCGCAAGGCUAAAACUC
rnacentral:rRNA from 1 species